rnacentral:rRNA from 1 species
UACGGGGGGAGCAAGCGUUGUUCGGAUUUACUGGGCGUAAAGUGUGCGCAGGCGGCUUCGCAAGUCGAGUGUGAAAUCCCCGAGCUUAACUUGGGAAUUGCGCUCGAAACUACGGAGCUGGAGUGUGGCAGAGGAAGGUGGAAUUCCACGUGUAGCGGUGAAAUGCGUAGAGAUGUGGAGGAACACCGAUGGCGAAGGCAGCCUUCUGGGCCAACACUGACGCUCAUGCACGAAAGCGUGGGGAGCAAACAGG